AACGAACGCUGGCGGCAGGCUUAACACAUGCAAGUCGAACGGGUGCAGCAAUGCAUCAGUGGCAGACGGGUGAGUAACACGUGGGAACCUUCCUAGGGGUACGGAACAACUCAGGGAAACUUGAGCUAAUACCGUAUACGUCCGUGAGGAGAAAGAUUUAUCGCCCUUAGACGGGCCCGCGUCGGAUUAGCUAGUUGAUGGGGUAACGGCCUACCAAGGCGACGAUCCGUAGCUGAUCUUAGAGGAUGAUCAGCCACACUGGGACUGAGACACGGCCCAGACUCCUACGGGAGGCAGCAGUGGGGAAUCUUGGACAAUGGGCGCAAGCCUGAUCCAGCCAUGCCGCGUGAGUGAAGAAGGUCUUCGGAUUGUAAAGCUCUUUUGCCAGGGGCGAUAAUGACGGUACCUGGAGAAUAAGCCCCGGCAAACUUCGUGCCAGCCGCCGCGGUAAGAC
rnacentral:rRNA from 1 species